rnacentral:rRNA from 1 species
UGAUCCUGGCUCAGAACGAACGCUGGCGGCAGGCCUAACACAUGCAAGUCGAGCGAGACCUUCGGGUCUAGCGGCGGACGGGUUAGUAACGCGUGGGAACGUGCCCUUCUCUGCGGAAUAGCCACUGGAAACGGUGAGUAAUACCGCAUACGCCCUUCGGGGGAAAGAUUUAUCGGAGAAGGAUCGGCCCGCGUUAGAUUAGAUAGUUGGUGGGGUAAUGGCCUACCAAGUCUACGAUCUAUAGCUGGUUUUAGAGGAUGAUCAGCAACACUGGGACUGAGACACGGCCCAGACUCCUACGGGAGGCAGCAGUGGGGAAUCUUAGACAAUGGGCGCAAGCCUGAUCUAGCCAUGCCGCGUGUGUGAUGAAGGUCUUAGGAUCGUAAAGCACUUUCGCCAGGGAUGAUAAUGACAGUACCUGGUAAAGAAACCCCGGCUAACUCCGUGCC